rnacentral:rRNA from 1 species
AUUGAACGCUGGCGGCAUGCCUUACACAUGCAAGUCGAACGGUAACAGGUCUUCGGAUGCUGACGAGUGGCGAACGGGUGAGUAAUACAUCGGAACGUGCCCGAUCGUGGGGGAUAACGAAGCGAAAGCUUUGCUAAUACCGCAUACGAUCUACGGAUGAAAGCAGGGGACCGCAAGGCCUUGCGCGAACGGAGCGGCCGAUGGCAGAUUAGGUAGUUGGUGGGAUAAAAGCUUACCAAGCCGACGAUCUGUAGCUGGUCUGAGAGGACGACUAGCCACACUGGGACUGAGACACGGCCCAGACUCCUACGGGAGGCAGCAGUGGGGAAUUUUGGACAAUGGGCGAAAGCCUGAUCCAGCCAUGCCGCGUGCAGGAUGAAGGCCUUCGGGUUGUAAACUGCUUUUGUACGGAACGAAAAGACUCUGGUUAAUACCUGGGGUCCAUGACGGUACCGUAAGAAUAAGCACCGGCUAACUACGUGCCAGCCGCCGCAGUAACAC